UGCCUCUCCUUCCCUCCCUGCUCCGCAGGCACAGCACGGGAUCAGCAGGGAGGGGCGGCUCUGUCGUGGAGGAUCCAGGAGCUCGGCGUGCGUGUCUGAGCCUGCAGCUGCGAGCCGCAGCAGGACCCAAGGUCUGCACACGCCUGUGUACAGAAGAAUGAUGCGAGAACGGAAAAGUUGCAAUGGCAUUGCAGUUCCCUGCACAGAAAAUAGCCAGGGAGGUGAAGCAGGGCCAAGUGGUGCCGUUCGACUGCGCCCCGACUGGGAGCAUCAGGUUCAUUCCCAUUGUGAUCUGCAAAUGGCAAAUCAGGGUUGCUCUUUGUUAAAACCAAAAGCGCUCUCAGAAUGUUGAUGGAGGUGAUGAUUGCAGGGGCGAUGCUUCUGGAGAAUAGCUCCCCCAUCUUCCCCAGGGCCUGGGCAGAGAGAGGUGGAGCUCGGAGUCCCCCCAGUCCUCCCGCGGGUGUCGGCGUCUGCAGCGCCAUCGGGACGGGAUCCACGGCGCAGCUCCCUCCUCCAGAGGCCGAAAGCUCAGCCUCCAGUUUCGUGCAGGGUGAUCACCUUUCCAGGGCAAUACAAGCACUUCCCAAGAGCAGCUGGUGAAGAUGGCGCAGAAGCAAGGACAAGGGUGCAGUGAAAAGUUUGGUGCAUCGAUCCAGCCUCCGGACACGUGAUCUUCUACCCUGCCCCACGGCAAGAAGAGUUUGGUGAUUUUGCUGCUCUGCUCUCUCAAGGGUGUUGCAGGCUGCGUAGCAGGGAGUGAAGCCCUUGUCGCUGCUCAUCAGACACUUUCCUACAGAAUUCUCCCUGCAGUGAUAAAAUUAGACUGGUGUUAGUGAGCUGCCAAGUAGAGCAGGUAACAUUGGACAAGAAUGGUUUCUGAGCUGCUGUUCACUAGCACGUGUUUCCCCUUUCCAGCGCGGUGCCGCCGCCCAAGAAAGGAUUUUUGUGGGUCAGCCAGAUGUGCUCCUGCCUCCCACUGAGGCUCUGAGAUGGAGCCGAGUUUGCAUUCCAGUUUAUUGCAACAGAGGGUCACGGGAAAUUUCCUCAGCUAGCUCAGGCACAGAGCCAUGGAAGCAAGUAAGCCUGAGCUCCUGCGUGCUUGCUGUGAGCCUUGAGACGAGUGUGCAUCAUUGCAGGCUUGGAAUUUAUU